rnacentral:misc_RNA from 1 species
GGUUUCUGGCAUAUGAUAAUGGCCCUGUCCAGGAAAGGAGUUUCAACACCCAACUAUAAAUAGUUUCUAGAGGAAACAAGAGCUAGUGUUAGAUUUUACUUGAACAUAUGGACAAAGACAUCCCAUUUUUUCCAUAUGUUCAAUAGUGUUGGACAUGAUAACUCUCUGAGAUCCAGACAUGAAGCAUAAUUGUGUUGUCAUUUAAAAAAUAAAAAAUGGAUAUAUCAUAUUGCUGUCAACACGGUUCAAGCCACAGAGACUACUGUGGUGCAAUAAAUGACUAACAACCUUAUAGCACAACGGUUGUUUUUUUGAGUUUAAUUAGAAGAACUGUAUAUUGUUUGAUUUUGUAUAAUAUUGAAGAAGAUAGAUAACCAAAGAAUAGUCAUAACUUUGAAAAUAUUCAAUUUUAGUUUUUAUUUUUUUUCCUAAAAAGAAAUAAUUCACUUAAUUUUUUCAAUUUUCCUAUGAAAAUAGAAAGUGGGGGACAUUCUAAGUGUAUUUGAUGCAAAUGGCCACAGGUUUUAGUUCAAUAUCUAAUAAGCCAAUUUUGAACAAGGAAAGUUAUUUUAUCAUACGCAAUAUAAGACUUUCUUUUACACAUUUACACUUACAUUC